UCUAAAACGGACUUGAGGCUCCCUCCAAGGUCAAGUGCAGACACAGGCAUAAGUACUUCCUGAAGAAGUUUUAAGUUGUUGUGGAAGCUGUGAAAAAGCUUUUUACACUGAGGAAGAAAUAGACUUGACUCACCUGCAGGAGGCUACUUGGCUGAUUACGAUAUAAGAUCUUCAGCCUAAUUCAUCCAAGGCAUCCAUCUGUCUUCAAAGAGGUUAGAAUUUUGUUCUGAAGCAGUGCAAAGAAUAAGACCAAGAACUUGAUGAGAACUAUGUGCCAGCUCCAGAAAUGAUCUAAGACCCAAGGCAGCCUACACCAAAUCAAAUAGAGAUAGUACCAGGACAUGGCACGCUUCAUUCUUUUAAAAAUAUCUACAGGAUGAAUUCAAACAAGAGCCAUGAGUCAUCUAGCAUAAUUCUAUCAUGCUGUUUCACAAAAGGUGUUUAAUAAGUAAUACUGUUUGCUUCUUGACUAAUCAAUUUGAAGAGAGACAAUUAAGCAGGAACAACAACAGAAAGAAAACAGCCAAACCUAAAAAAUUCCCUUCCACGAGUCUGGUGGCUGGAGAGAAUUUUGUAGGAAUGCUUGUAACUACCAAAA